rnacentral:lncRNA from 1 species
UUAAUAUAUCAGAUUUUGAGUGAUUUUAUUUGCUGAGUACAUAAGAUUUAAAACGACGUUUGAAAAAAAAUAAAAGAAAGACACUCACAUUAGUUGGCAUUUUGAAAAUUUAAAAUUAAUUUUAGUUAUUAGAAUAUUACUGAGAAGCGUCAUCUACGACUCUUGUUAGUGAACUUACAAAAAAAAAAUGAGCUCACAUAAUUAGUUUUUUUUGUCAUUAAUUAUUGAGUAGUGUGAUGUAUUUGAAUAGGUUGUUUCAAAAGCACAUCAAAACUCUCGAAUGUAAUGUUAUUUUCAACUUUAUGGUAUAUGAAUAAUUUUUCAGUCAACAUGGUCUAACCCGAUAAAAAAUGGUUUUAGUUUGUAGACCAGUGAUCUCAGGUUCAAACCCUCAUAAUAUUUUGAUAGUGCAUGUGCGAGAAACCCCUUCUUCCAUUUGUAGUUUAGACUAUCGUUUGUAUUUGAAAAAAAUAAAUUUCAAAAUACAAACAUCAUCAUAGCAUGUAUGUGUUGUUUAUGAUGUACCGAAUUGACUCAAAUUAUAACACAUAUCAAUAAUAAUAAACUUGAUACACAAUUUCUCUAUAAAAUAAAAAUAAAAAAAAAAAAAAACUUGAUACACAAUACACCAUUUUAGCACACCACAUGGUGCAUCGCAUGGUUAGAUUUAUGCAUCUAUUUCAAGUCACCUAGACAAACCUACAUGCCAAUUAGGUGGGUAAAGUUCACUACUUCACUACCAAAUUUUGAUUUCCAAAAAUGCCCUCACACUUGUAUAGUUGUCAAAUAAUAAAGAGUAGGGGGGCAAAUUGGUCACACAAAAUAUAAUUUGCAUUCUAAGUAGGAUGCCCUCUUGAAGCACUUUAUUUAAGUGGGAGGAUGGGGGUGUGUGGGGUUGGGUGGUAGUAAUCAUACAUGGGACGGUGCGAAAAGAGCAAAUGCCAACUCAGCAAUUCCGUUUCCAACUAAUUGGAGAUCAUGUCGGCGUGUUUGUUCCGUUAGACGUUGACCAGGUGAAUUAGUCAACAGCGAAAUCAACGCAUUUUUAGCAAAAACUUGAUACACGAUACAAAAACUUGAUACGCAUUUUUAGCCAACUCAGCAAAAACGUUGACCAGGUAAAAUAAAAAUAAAAAAUAAAAAAAACUUGAUACACAAUACACCAUUUUAGCACACCACAUGAUGCAUCGCAUGGUUAGAUUUAUGCAUCUAUUUCAAGUCACCUAGACAAACCUACAUGCCAAUUAGGUGGUAAAGUUCACUACUUCAUUACCAAAUUUUGAUUUCCAAAAAUGCACUCACACUUGUAUAGUUGUCAAAUAAUAAAGAGUAGGGGGCAAAUUGGUCAUACAAAAUAUAAUUUGCAUUCUAAGUAGGAUGCCCUCUUGAAGCACUUUAUUUAAAUGGGAGGAUGGGGGUGUGUGGGGUUGGGUGGUAGUAAUCAUACAUGGGACGGUGCGAAAAGAGCAAAUGCCAACUCAGCAAUUCCGUUUCCAACUGAUUGGAGAUCAUGUCGGCGUGUUUGUUCACGUGCGGUCACAUCCACGGACACUUGCACGCACCGCCCAUGUUCUCGUCGAUUGUUCCGUUAGACGUUGACCAGGUGAAUUAGUCAACAGCGAAAUCAACGCAUUUUUAGCAAAAACUUGAUACACGAUACAAAAACUUGAUACGCAUUUUUAGCCAACUCAGCAAAAACGUUGACCAGGUAAAAUAAAAAUAAAAAAUAAAAAAAACUUGAUACACAAUACACCAUUUUAGCACACCACAUGGUGCAUCACAUGGUUAGAUUUAUGCAUCUAUUUCCGUUAGACGUUGACCAGGUGAAUUAGUCAAUAGCGAAAUCAACGGCAGAUGAAACACCUAAAACUCUCUGAACUAAAACUCUCAAACAAUCGUCACAGACUCGUAACAUGAAAAGCAUAACUACCGGCAAAAGCUCACAAACGUGGUCACCCGUCUUGGAGGCAGGCUGCCUUGUAUAAAAGUUUCCUCUUUUUUUUUUCUUUUUUCUUUCCCCCCUCAUUUUUCUAAAUUAGGAAAUCAUUCUUAGUUUCUUUUUAUUUUUUAUAAACCAAUGCAUUCUUUUAAUAAUUCAUAAUAUUCCAAUGAAUCUUAAAUGGAUUUCAAAUUGUGUUAAGAUAUUGUCGCACAAUAUUUGAUCAUGUGACAAGUACAUAAAAAGUUAAUUGUGAUUAAAACAUUACAUGUGACGAUUAUUUUGUUAAACAAACAAGCGAUAUACCCAUCAAGGAGUAAGCAAGGUCGAUAAUCCCUAGGAAGUUAAUUUUCUUCCUAAUAUUUUAAUUGUUUGCCCAUUUAAUUCUUGAUUUUGUUUUCUUAAGAAUUGGGGCAGUGUUUUUUUUAGGACAGUGUUGUUGGUAAAAUGUCUCAUAGUGAAAACAAAUACCAAACAUAUGCGGGGC